GAAAUGCGAUAAGUAGUGUGAAUUGCAGAAUUCAGUGAAUCAUCGAAUCUUUGAACGCACAUUGCGCCCUUUGGCAUUCCGAAGGGCAUACCUGUUCGAGCGUCAGUUGCACAACUCAAGCACAGCUUGGUGAUGGGCGCCUGUCCCGCCUCCGCGCGCGGACUCACCUCAAAUCCAUUGGCGGCCCCCGCGUCGGCCACGAGCGCAGCAGAAACGCGAACUCGUGAGCCCGUCCGGGCGGCUCCCAGAAGCUACACCCACCCAGUUUGACCUCGGAUCAGGUAGGGAUACCCGCUGAACUUAAGC
rnacentral:misc_RNA from 1 species